AACUGAUGAUGUGGACAACCAAUCAAUAGAGUCUUGUAUCGCUCCCAAGCUUGAAAGAGUGGUUCUCCCUUGUUCUGCCUGAAGUGGAAAAUCUGAUCUCUCAACCU